rnacentral:rRNA from 1 species
UACGUAGGGUGCAAGCGUUGUCCGGAAUUAUUGGGCGUAAAGAGCUCGUAGGCGGUUUGUCGCGUCUGCUGUGAAAAUCCAGGGCUUAACCCUGGACCUGCAGUGGGUACGGGCAGACUGGAGUGCGGUAGGGGAGAUCGGAAUUCCUGGUGUAGCGGUGAAAUGCGCAGAUAUCAGGAGGAACACCGGUGGCGAAGGCGGUUCUCUGGGCCUGUACUGACGCUGAGGAGCGAAAGCGUGGGGAGCGAACCGG